GGCUGUCACUCCCGGGCGGUUUCACUGGGGCUGGUUCUCUGCUGGGGGCGGGAGGAAGAGGGGCCGGACUGGGGCCUGACGAGCUGUCGCUGCUGCCGCCACCGCCUUCGCGGGUGCUAUGACCAGCGGAAGAGGCGCUCUCCUCAGCUCCGUGCAGCGCUAGCCCUGGCCGUGUCCCUGCCGUGCACCCGCCGUAGCCGUCUGGGUCCCCAGCGCGGCCGCUCCCUCUGAUCCCUCGGCUCUUCCAGUGCCGCCCGCGAGGCGAGGCGGAGGCAGGAUGAAGAUGACGGUGGAUUUCGAGGAGUGUCUGAAGGACUCGCCCCGCUUCAGGGCUGCAUUGGAAGAAGUAGAAGGAGAUGUGGCAGAAUUGGAGCUAAAACUUGAUAAGCUUGUGAAGCUUUGUAUUGUGAUGAUUGAUACUGGGAAAGCCUUUUGUGUUGCAAAUAAACAAUUCAUGAAUGGAAUUCGAGACCUGGCACAGUAUUCUAGUAAUGAUGCAGUAGUUGAGACAAGUUUGACCAAGUUUUCUGACAGUCUUCAAGAAAUGAUAAAUUUUCACACAAUCCUGUUUGACCAAACUCAGAGAUCAAUUAAGGCACAGCUGCAGAACUUUGUUAAAGAAGAUCUUAGAAAAUUCAAAGAUGCCAAGAAGCAAUUUGAAAAAGUCAGCGAAGAAAAAGAAAAUGCAUUGGUGAAAAAUGCUCAAGUGCAAAGAAACAAACAGCAUGAAGUUGAGGAAGCCACAAACAUUCUGACAGCAACAAGAAAAUGUUUUCGACAUAUAGCCCUUGACUAUGUGCUUCAGAUUAAUGUUCUUCAAUCAAAAAGGAGAUCAGAAAUCCUAAAAUCAAUGUUAUCCUUUAUGUAUGCCCAUUUGGCCUUCUUUCAUCAGGGAUAUGAUCUAUUUAGUGAACUUGGGCCAUAUAUGAAGGAUCUUGGUACACAGUUGGAUCGACUGGUUGUGGAUGCAGCAAAGGAGAAAAGAGAGAUGGAGCAAAAGCAUUCUACCAUUCAACAAAAGGAUUUCUCCAGUGAUGAUUCUAAACUAGAAUAUAAUGUAGAUGCUGCAAACGGCAUUGUUAUGGAAGGAUAUCUGUUCAAACGAGCCAGCAAUGCCUUCAAAACUUGGAACAGGAAAAAGCCCGAUCAUAUCAGACGCUGGUUUUCAAUACAGAACAAUCAGUUGGUUUACCAGAAAAAGUUUAAGGAUAACCCCACUGUGGUAGUUGAAGAUCUCAGGCUGUGUACGGUGAAACACUGUGAAGACAUAGAACGGCGAUUCUGCUUUGAGGUGGUCUCUCCAACAAAAAGUUGUAUGCUCCAGGCAGAUACUGAAAAGUUGCGCCAGGCAUGGAUUAAGGCUGUUCAGACCAGUAUUGCCACUGCUUAUCGAGAGAAGGGUGAUGAGUCAGAGAAGCUGGACAAGAAAUCAUCUCCAUCCAUAGGAAGCCUAGAAUCUGGAAAUGAGUCAAAAGAGAAAUUAUUGAAAGGAGAAAGUGCACUGCAGAGAGUCCAGUGUAUCCCUGGCAAUGCCAGCUGUUGUGACUGUGGUCUUGCAGAUCCGCGGUGGGCCAGCAUCAACCUGGGCAUUACCCUGUGUAUCGAGUGCUCCGGGAUUCACCGGAGUCUUGGAGUUCAUUUUUCAAAAGUACGAUCUUUAACUUUAGACACCUGGGAACCUGAACUUUUAAAGCUAAUGUGUGAGUUGGGGAAUGAUGUCAUAAAUCGAGUUUAUGAAGCAAAAGUGGAAAAAAUGGGAAUAAAGAAACCACAACCAGGACAAAGACAGGAGAAAGAGGCAUAUAUCAGAGCAAAAUAUGUGGAGAGGAAAUUUGUGGAUAAAUAUUUUAUAUCGUCAUCACCUCCUGAGCAAGAAAAAAAGACUGUCUCCAAAAGGUGUGAAGAAAAGAGACUGAGCAUUCCUAAGCUUGGGCCAGGUGAUCAAAUCAGAGCAUCUGCCCAAAGUUCAGUGAAAAGUAAUGACAGUGGAAUCCAGCAGAGUUCUGAUGAUAUAAGAGAAUCUUUACCCUCUAUGGUGUCAACCAAUAGUUUAUAUGAUCCUGAAGCAGAAAGGCAAGAUUCUUCUGUAUUUCUUGAGUCUAAGCAUCUUAAUCCAGGACUUCAGCUUUACAGGGCUUCAUAUGAAAAGAACCUUCCUAAAAUGGCUGAGGCUUUGGCUCACGGUGCAGAUGUGAACUGGGCUAAUUCAGAAGAAAACAAAGCAACACCACUUAUUCAGGCUGUAUUAGGGGGCUCUUUGGUGACAUGUGAAUUCCUCCUGCAGAAUGGUGCUAAUGUGAACCAAAGAGAUGUUCAAGGACGGGGACCACUGCAUCAUGCCACCGUCUUAGGACACACAGGGCAGGUGUGUUUAUUCUUAAAACGAGGUGCCAAUCAACAUGCCACUGAUGAAGAAGGGAAAGACCCUUUAAGUAUAGCUGUGGAAGCAGCCAAUGCUGAUAUAGUGACUUUGUUACGGUUAGCAAGAAUGAAUGAAGAGAUGCGUGAAUCAGAAGGACUUUACGGACAGCCAGGUCAAUAUUCUACUAAUAAUCACACUGAAAUGCAAUAUAAGAAAUGCAUUCAGGAAUUUAUCAGUUUACAACUGGAAGAGUCAUAGUUCUUUAGCAAACUAAAAUAAUACUACAGUUUUUAUAACCUACUUGUAAAUUGUGAGUUUGUUAGCUGUGUACUGUACUUAAUGAAUUCUUGGGUGGCUAAUUGCCAGGCCUUUACAAAUCUGUAACUAUUCCUAUUAGAGUACGUAUUAUUUGCUGUAUUUAACUCCGGCUGCUGACUUACUUUAUCUGCUGUAUAGAUGUCUUCAUAUACAUUCCAGUGAAGUGAAUGGAAUGAUAAUGUGUUCUUUAUACACUUCAGCAGCACUAUAGGUGUCUUUUUGGAAUUCUCUUUAGCUGUCACGUGAAUAUAACAAAAUUAUUUUAUUUUUGUCAUUCAGGGAAUUUCUAUAAGUUAUGUUCAGGGAAAAAACAAAUCACCAUGUAUGUGGCAUAUAAAAAGCCGGUAUGGAAGAUACCAAGAAAAAGGUUAUUGAAUUAAAAGAUUUGUAUUUCAACUAAAAAUGAGUUGAAGGUUUAAGGUAAAAAUUUACCAGUAGGUUGAAAGGUCCAUAAUAGAAGUGGAGUUUGUACAAAUAGAGGGAAAAGGUCUCAUUUAAUCUUGUAGCUUUGCCCCAAGCAAUCAUACAAUAUUUGUUGGAUAAGUGGAAGUAUUUAUAACAAAAUUUUAUGAACCUGAUAGCAAAGUAGACUUAAUCUUAUUAGAGAAAUCUCAGCUCAUGAUCAGCUCAAAUAUCAUUUUGAGUAAUUUCACCUUUGAGUCAAGAUGUCAAGCAAAGGAAGAAAUGUUAUUGAGCAGGUUCCUCUCUUUGGUGAACAUAUCCUGAUUAGCCAUUCUUUACAAAGAAGAAAGCAAUUAUUGGACCCCUAGUUUCCUGAGUUGGGGUAUACAGAUUACUAAUUUAUCUCUUUUAAAUUAAUAUGCAUAUUAGUAAAAAAUUUCAGGAGUUCAUGACUAAAAUACUUGAGAAUGUUCAGUUUGCAAUGAACAUAUUUGAUUUUUUUCAUUGAAUAUUGACAUAUUAUUUUUAAAGUGUCUUGGUAAUAUCCUCUUUACUUCCGGUUUAAAUAUGUACUGAAUUUUCUGUGCUUAAUGCUAGCUUCAGCCAUUGCUUUUAUUUUUAAGCAGAUUAAUAUAUAAUUAAUGUAAAUGCGGGGCCAUUCUUUUCUCAGAGACUCUAUUUAUUACUUAUAUUUGGUCUAAUUUAAUAGGAAACAGGUAAGAACUUCGAGAAUAGAGGCACUUCAGCUAGAUGCUUCUAAUCUAGGGUGCCUUGGUUUAAUCCUAUGGAUCAUACAGUACUACAGGCUCAUGAUAUACCAAGAUAUAAGAGUGCUGAUUAAGGGUGAAGUUUCAGCGUUAAUUCUGGAUUUCACCCACUUGUUUUAAACUUGAAUGUUAGAUUUUAAAUACGUUAUAAUUUUGUAACAGAUUACUUAAGUGAUAGUAUUACUAGGCCAUUUUUGAGGCCUUUGUGUUGAAGCACUUUAAAAUAAAAAUUGUUCAAAGGAUAUGACCUGAUAUUUGUGAGCUAAGAGUGAACUUCAAAAUUUUAAGUUAAAACCUUUUUUUUCCCUGAAAUUUUAAACUUAAAUGUUUGGUCAGCUGAUCUUUCCUUAAGGUGUUCGCUGAUGAAGUUACACCCAUCUGAUUAGUCAGAAGGUCAGUGAUUGACUUUUCUUUGGAGUUGGGAAGCUUGAAAGGAUAGAGACUUCUAUGUUCUUGCCACCUCUAGUUCCACUUAAACUGCUUGGGUUUCUGCUGCCAUCACUUAGGAGCAUUCAAAUGUCUCUUUCACUGUCAUUUACGUAUAAGUUUAUAUAUAAGGCUCGGAAUAUAUACUUUCUAUUCAGCAGUGAAAAAAUAGAUUUUUCCAAUUUAUUUAAAUGAAAAUUUUGGAUGGGGGAUGACUCAUUUUAAAACAAGCUUUUCUGCCACUCUCAAAUUUUAGUUUAGGGGUUAAAAAAUAUAUCAGAUUUCUGGAAAUGCUAUAUCAGAAUAAAAUGAGAUCUUCAAAUAGAUCAUCUUGAUAAUAUUUAGAUUUUAAACUCAUUCAGAGGGCCUAAAAGCUGAAAAGUUUUAUACUUAUACAGGUGACGUGGUGAAAUGGCACAGCAAUUGCUCUCUGGGUACUUUUCUUUUCCUAUAUGUGUCUUCGGAGAGCAGAUAUGUUUGUGCAGGUAGCAGCUCUUUUAUUCCCCCUCUGCUUAUCACUGUAAAUUUUUCUCUCAUAGACUUUCGUUGUCGCUAGUAAUAGAAAGAAGACCUCAGAUUUUGGGGUAAUUUUGAAAUGCAGGUAUUUUCGAUCUUUUGGUAAUGAAGGAUUCUACUGUUUAAAAAUCUCAGAUCUAAUCUUUGGCAAUCAUGGACCUAUUUCUAGGAAAUCCAACUUCUGAGCUUUAUAUCUACACCCUAAAGGCCUGGGACUGCCUGAGUUUGCAAGGUGAUAUAAAAACCCACAUUUACUGAAAGGAGUUCCUAAACUCCUAAGAGGCAUGGUUGGGUGAGUGAAAUAUCGCACCCUGCUCUCAGUUGUUGGAAACCAGUUUGAUGAUUCCCACAGUCCCUGGCUCCAUACUUUUCUUGAUCUUUGGCAGAGUAUCUCAGCCAGCUGAGAAUCACUGCUUUGAUGAACCACAAGUGCUUAUGAGAGUAUGUAGUGGGCAAAGGUUGGGAAUCAUUGAUGUAAUCAGCUUUAAAAAGGAAGCUGUUAUCAGCUGAGAAGGGGCAGGAUCAUAUACAUGAUCCCCUGGGAGUGGGGUGUCACAUGCUGCCAUCCCUUUGAGGUAGUGUAUUUCAAGAGCAAAAUCAGCAGAAUCUUCAAUCAUCAUAACUGCUGUUGUGAUGGAUAUUAUGAAUACCAAAAAUCAAAGAUGAUUUUAAAGUAUUAGUGGAAAUAUAGUAGUUCAUAUUUUAAAAACCCAGAAUUGUCCAUGCACAUAGAAAAGUUAGCUAUCUGAAGGGAAGUAGAAUGUGGUUAGGUAAUAUAAAGGGUAUGAAGAGCAUUAAAAAUAUUAGAUGACUAGUUGUUUACCAUUUAAAAUAAAUUGUUAAUUAUACUGUUGCAAGGGGGCAUAUUCCAGGUGGUUUUGUUUAUGUGCUAUAGUGUAGACAAAUUAUAUUUGUUUUGGGAAAAAUUCUAAAUUAUUAAAAUUAUAGAUAAAUUUUAAAGAAUCACACUGAAGUCCAAUUUGUAUUAACUAUAUUAAAUAUCUUGAUUUCUUGUUAUUAUAACAUUUGCUUUUUUGACAACACAUUUUGAGGUCUCAGAAAGGUAGUAUCGUGAUAGUGCAUUGAUUAAUGUCUUGUUAGGAACUGAACAUUAACUCAAAGUUUGUGUGUGUGUGUGUGUGUGUGUAUGUAUGUAUGUGAAGGGGGAAACCAAUGAUUUGUUUAGCAAGUAGCACCAACACUUUUCCUUCAAGGAAGCAUUUAAUUCGGUGAAUGAAAGGACUUAUAAUUUGUUUUGCAUGGUACAAUGGUUCUGCUCAAAUGUGCUUGUGUAAUAAGUAUUAGAUGAUUUAAAAACAAAAACUGGAAAACCACAAAAAGAAAAAUACACCCACAGCUUGUUCUGCAAAAUAUGCAUUGUUAACAGUAGAAGCCAUAUAUUGCCAUUGUACUGUUGUAAUACUUGAGAAUGCUCAUCUGGUGCUAUCUGUAAACUAUUCGGCAUUAUUAUCUGCUAGAUCCUUCUUCCUAUUUCUUCUUGAAUGUAUAAUGUGUGCCUUUUAAGUUACUUUUGGUGUUGAAUGGUAAAAUCAGUGUGGUAUUUUUGUAUUAUGAUGAUCUGCACUUUACACUUUCUUGGAAAGUAAAAUUCCAAAUCCAGUUUAAAUAGUAUUUUAAAAAAAUUUAUAAUGUUUACAAUAAAUAUUUUAAAUAUUUUAAUUCAAUAUCUAAUAAGAAAAUUUUAAUUAUUUUGUAUGGUUUGUUAAUUGCUAUUUAAUGUUGCUCUCUUAUUUUUUAUCUUUUAGUAUAGCUAACAAUGGAAAUAGGUUAUAGUUUGUCUUUUAAUGUGGGAGUAAACUUUUAAGAAAUCAUGGGUGUAAUUAAAUUGUCUUACCAGUUGCUCCAGAAUAUCAACCUUUCUUUUUAUUCGUUGAGUAAUAAUUAUGAGUUAGAUGUUAUUCUCAACCAUCCUAUUAAGAUAUUAAAAAAUAAAUUAGAGUGAGUAGAUGUGAUUGAUUCAGGUAGUCAAAAAAUGUCCAGUGUUAAAUGAAGACUACUUAAAGAUUUUAGUAAAUUGCUUUUUUACAUAAACUAAAUAUUAAAAGAGAGUAAAUAGUGAAGGAAUUACAAAGUUUUCAUUGAAAAUCUUGAGUUAUGCUGUUAAACCUUUUUACUAGAUCUUUAUCCUUCUCCCUCAACUUUUUCCUAAUUCUCUAGCUUUUGGUAUGACAUCUAUUGCCUCAAAAAUCUUGCUUUUGAAAAGCUGAUAAAACUUAUUGCAUUCUUAACAAUACCUGUAGCGAUGAGUUUAAGAUGGAUGCAAGGUAUCUUAUCGGAAAUAAUUAUAAAAGCAUGUUGCAACAAUAAUCAAAACUGUAUUUCAUGGUCUAAAUUUGAGAAUAGUAUUAUGCCAAGCUUCUGAAUAAGCCUGAUGUUUAGCAGGAAACAUUCAUGAUGAAUGAUUCAUCUUGAAAAAUAGAUUUAAUUUUACAGAAAUCCUUUGAGGAAUUAAUCUGUAUUUGUGUACGUGUAUAUAUAUUUAGUUUAUCAUGGCAGGAAGAAUAGUAUUCAAUCUGCUAUAAUAUCAGUAUCUAUAAUCUACUUCUAUAAGCUUAUUUGUACAUAUACACAUGUUAAAUAUACUCUAAGUUAGCAGGGGUCUUUAGUAUUUAUUCGUUUUUGUCAUAGCAUUCUUAUUCACAUGACCUACGGUAAAUAAACUUCUAAGUGUGAAACCAGGAUUUUAUAGUUAUUUUCUAGGCUUUAUUAUUUUAUAAGCUUUUCAGUAGUAUUAUUAAAGUUUGAUUAAAUAAUUAUUUUUCACAUUCCAUUCAAUUAAAAUUCCUUUUAUUUAAAAGAUAAUUUAAAAAUAGGAGUCUUUUUUUUCCACAUGAUUAUCAGUUUACCUUGUUAAUAACUUGCAUCCAUCGGAAACAUUAGUGUUUGGUUUCAGUCAUUUCUUUUGCCCUUUAUCGCAGGAAAUAUUUAUUUAUUUAAAGGAUGCCUUGUUUACUAUACCUCAGUUAGAAUGACUUUUACUUCUCACGUGUUAAUAAAUGUGUUUCUUUACAUUGCUUUCAAACACUUGCAUCUUUGCUCUUUUCUAACUCUGAACUUUCCUCUGUGGCUGCAUCUGAGGUGCUUUUUUCAGGUGAUGAAACUUAUCAAGAUAUUUUUCGUGAUUUUUCCCAAAUGGCAUCCAAUAAUCCAGAGAAACUAAAUCGUUUCCAGCAAGAGUCACAGAAAUUCUGAAUUUUUUUUAAGAAAGGGAAAAAUAUUAAACCUGGUGAAUCCCCCAUAAUGUGUACAGCUGAAAACGCGCACAUUUUUAUUUCUUUAAUUCUACUUACUUAAUUUUGGUAGCUGCUGAAUGGUUUGGAAAAAGCUACCCCAUUCACCGAUAUUUUAAUAAAGUAAAACAUAGAUCUCUAAUGGCUGGGAUAAGACCUACUUUAGGACCUCUUUUUUUAAAAAGCCUCUGUAGUGGGCUCUUUUGUAUUCAAAAAGUUCAGUCUAGACUUAGGCUGUCUCUAAAUUACAAGAUGCUGAGUGGGUAGGUUAGAGAAAAUCUCUUUGCCGGGGGGUUGUAGCGUGGAAGCAUUGAUUUUUCUAUACAUUCUGCCCAGGGUCAUUCAGUCAAGCAUGUCUGUGUCAACUGGGAGUUGACAGUCCUGCCUGUCUCAAGAAUGUCUUUUCUUUACCCUCCCUGAUAAUUUUUGAUGGUUCCAAAAAUUAGGUCUCUCUCUCUCUGUUUUUUUUAAGUAGCUUUUGAAAAAUCUUGAUUUAGUUAUUGGAAAUAAAGAAUAUGUUUCCCCCAUUUGCUCAUAAAUGCAGUAUACUCUUUAGAUAGCAGGUUAUUUUUGAGUACUUUAACAUAUAUAUAUAUAUAUAUAUAUAUAUAUAUAUAUAUAUAUAUAAUGGCUGUACAGGUAGACAUGGUUCAGUCCUUUAGAUUUAUUCUAUUUUAGGAGACAAAAAAGCCUUUUUUUUUUUUUAAAUUACCCAAAGAGACUUAGUUACAGAAGUUGUAGCUCUUGAUCAUUGGGUUUAUUUCCUAAAACCUUGGCAAACUGAUUGAUGUAAUAAAACUGUUCUAAAGGUUACUUGAAUGUUGCAAAAUUCUACUUUCAUCAAAAUGUAACUUUCAAAGGAAAAGUUGAUUUAUAAAAUAAUGUACAUUUUUAUAUACACAUUUUUGCUGUGGUUCCUAGUGAAAGAAAAGUGUAUAAAGGAAAAAAAAAACAAGUUUUUCUUAGAUUAUACUAAAAGAAACAGCAAUAAAUUGCUUUAUAAUUUUUUUCCUACAUUAUCCUGUGUGCUUGUGUUGUACACAGUGUACAUUCUUUUAAAUUAUAUCACCUGUGUAGAUUUAGUGUUUGAUAUGUGAAUCUCAGACUCUUCAAUUCCAAAACAUCAUGGAUAUACUUAUUUACCAUCUGUCUGUUGCAAAAAUAAGUCUGAUUCCAUCUUUGAUUGCCAUUUCUUGUCAGGAGUUAUUUGUGUUACAUUCCUUUCCAAUACAGUCAGCAAUUUAAUUUAAUCAUCUUUUACAAAUUAUGUUUAAGCAAUAUUAUUGAUACCCAGUCUCCAAAUAACAGGGAUUUUUAAACGGUUGUUAAAUAAGUAAGGAAAUGAUAUUGAUUUGGGUAGAUACUAAAUUUUCUAACAUUUUGCCCCAAUAACUAUGGUUUUAUAAAUUGAUUAAAUGUCAAAUCACAAUCUAGCUAAACAGGAAUUAUACUGAAAUAAAAUCAUAUAGCAGAAAAGGCUCCAUAAUCUGUAUGGCCAAAUUGCUUGUGUGCAGCUCUUAUUUACUAAUAGACACUAUAGAUUAAGAAUAAAUAUACAUUUUACCUAUUUGUUAAUUAUUUCUGAGGAAAUGCUAACCUCCAAAGCAUUGUAUUUUAAUUAAAACAAUAACAGGAACAUUAACUCUCUCCUGUUUCACCUCAGAGUCACAGGUCAUCUGGCUUUUUGGGUACUGUAUUUAAAGGUAAAAGUCUGAUUUGUAACAUUUUUAUUAGCGCAUACUUUGAGAUUAAGUGUGCAGAAAGCUCAAGGACAAAGAAAAACGUUUAAGAACAAACAAAAAGAGGGAAAAGAAGGAAGAAGGAAGUAAAAGAAGAGGAAAGGAGGGAAGGAAGGAAG